UAGAAUUUUGGGAUAUUGUGACGGUAGUGAACAGUAAAAUACUGUUCAACAUUGUUUAAAUACGUCACCAAAGGUAAAAAAAAAAAGCAUUUUUGGAGGGAAAAAGUAGAGAGUUCUGGAUUUUUGACCUUUCGUGAUGCUUUUUUUCCGUCACGAAAAACUUGAGGCGCGUUUUUUGCGGGAAAUGACGGAGUGUUCCAGAUUGUUGUGUUUUCGUGAUGAAUUUUAUCCGUCACAAUAAGGUGACCAUUAUUUUUCGUGACGUCUAAAAAUGUUACGAAACACUUGAUGCGCAUUUUUGGCGGGAAAAGACGGAGUUUUUCAGAUUGGCGGCGGCUUUUCAUAAUGCGUACAAAACGUCACAGAAUAUAAUUUUUUGUGACGUUUUAGAAUCGUCACGAUACGAUAAGAAGAUUCCAGUCUUAUUCGUGAAAAGAAUCACCGCCUCUUCCUCCAUUGUGAAGAUCACGCUACUUGAUCGUCCGCCACUGCGAAUGCUGCUCUAUGCCACCACUAGUCGCCGCCGGUGAGGAUCGAACAUGGCUGUGGAGCUGGCUUGAGACAAUUUCCGGGUUAGGCUCAACCAUUACAAGGGAAUUCAGCCACGUCAUUUAACUUUUCUACUCAAUCACAACAAGCUACGAACUUGCAAUCACUUGCUAUCGUUGGAUCACAGCUUGGUGUCUUUCUUGACAAGAGAGUUUUGGACCUUAGAGUUUUCCAACUUCGGACUGCCGUCUAGUUGUAUCGGUUGGUCUUCUUAGAAUCUUUGGUCGUGAAGUUGCUGAGCUUCCUAUAAUUGCCACAGGUAGAAAACAUAAGGGCUGACCACCACUACUCUUCGUCAAUCUUUGGGACUACUUCGUCAGACACACUACUUUGAAGUAUCUAUUUUGUCAUACAAGAAAUUCUUGGUUGGCUUCGUAGCGCAACGCAUAUGUGGAGCAAUCUUCGCACUGGAAUGAGAAAUUGUAAGGGUUUGAAAUGCUUGUCGAACUACGUCUAGGUGAGCUGAACCAUGUUGUGGCCGUUUCCAUCAAAAUUCCAUCAUAAUAAAGGUCUUUCACGACCCCCAAGACGUCGACAAUUAGGAUUAGGAGUGCAACUAAUCGAUGGAUGAGCUUUGUUGUCGGGGUUGGUGUGUAGGGAACAUGUUUAAUUCUGUAAUUUUGUAAUUUGUGUUUGAGAA